rnacentral:lncRNA from 10 species
UAUGCCCUUUAAAGCAAGUAGAGCACAUUACUCAUCACUCAAUCUCCAGGACCAAGUUAAUGUUCUGUAUAUAGUAAUGUCGACAGCAACAUCUCCCCCAGGUGUAACAACUAAACGUGUCUCCAGACAUUGGCAAAUAUCCUUGGGCCAUGGAGAAAACAUCACCUUCAAUUGAAAACCACUGGGCCACUCUAAUGCCUUCAAGGAAGCCAAGAGUCUCAGGCCCUUCGCCCUUGCUUCUCAGAAAAGAACAGCUAACCAUUGCCAACCAGAAUGCAUAGAAACUGAACUACUUCUGUGUCUGCAAUUGUCAUCUUGGACAAAUUACCUAAACUGCUUGGGCUGAGAUAUGUGAAUUCAGAUAUUGAAGCUUAUUUAUACCUUCAUAAUUCUAUGCUUCCAUAAUGAUUAAAUCCACCAUAGUAAUAAAUAAAGGCCUUAACCACAUGAAGAA